UGGCCAUCUAUAUGUCUUCCUGGGAGAAAUAUCUAUUUAGAUGUUCUCAUUUUUUGAUUCAGUUGUUUCUUUUUUUGAUAUAAAGCUGUAUAAAGUAUAUUUUUGAGAUUAAUCCCUUGUUGGUUGCUUCAUUUGCAAAGUUUUUCUCCCAUUCUGUGUGUUGUCUCUUUGGGGUUUUUUGGUUUUUUUUAUGGUUUCCUUUGCUGUGCAACAUCUUUUAAGUUUACUUAGCUCCCAUUUGUUUAUUUUUGUUUUUAUUUUCAUUACUCUGGGAGGUGGAUACAAAAAAGUAUUGCUGCUGUUUAUGUCACAGGAGUGUUCUGCCUAUAUUUUCCUCUAAGAGUUUUAUAUAUCUGGCCUUACAUUUAGGUCUUUAAUCCAUUUUGAGUUUAUUUUUGUGCAUGGUGUAGGAGACUGUUCUAAUUUUAUUAUUUUAUGUAUAGCAGUCCAGUUUUCCCAGCACCACUUAUUGAAGAGGCUCUCUUUUCUCCACUGUAUGCUCUUGCCUCUUUUGUCUUAGAUUAAUUGACCAUAGAUGUGUGGGUUUAUUUCUGGGCUUUCUAUCCUAUUCCACUGAUGUUUAUUUCUGUUGUUGUGCCAGUACCAUACUGUUUUGAUAAUUGCUUUCUAAUAUACCAUGAAGUCAGGGAGCCUGAUUCCUCCAGCCCUGUUUUUUUUUUUUUCAAGAUUGCUUUGGUGAUUCGGGGUCUGUUUGUGUCACCUGUGAUUUCCUCCAUCAAUGUCUUACAGUUUUUGGAGUACAGAUCUUUUGGGUCUUUUGCCUCUUUAGAAGUAUAAUCAGCUCCUUGAGGGUAGAGGAUGUUUCUGACACGUCUCAGCAUCUCCAGGUGCCAGAAGAAUAGGGUUCACCAUAAAGAUAAGGUAGUAUGCAUGAGCUCUUUUCAUUUUUAUAACAAUCUAUGAGGGGGGAACUAUCAUUACUCUAAUUUUAUAAAUGAGAAAACUGAGGCCUGAGCUACACAGCUCCAGUGAAAAGUACAGCUGGAACUGACUCUAACUUGGCUGAUUAGCCAAGUUAGCUAGAUCCUACCCUUAGUAACCUGCAGCAUUUGCCUUCAGUGCAGGUAAGGUGCUUUCUGGAGAGACAGAUCUGGGAGUUCAUGGAGCUUACAGAAUAGAUUGUAUGAUAAAUGUUGUUCGCUAAUAAAUGUUUGUUGAAUUUGACCUACUCUUCA
rnacentral:lncRNA from 1 species